GGCUCUCAAAAGAAAUUUCAAUCGUUGUACUGUUGAUAUUUGGCUCUGUUGACUAAUGAGUUUGCCGACCACUGACCUCGGAGAGUGACGCCCUCACCGAGUGUCCCGAUUGGAAUGGCUCCUGGUGAGAGCCUUUCUCGCCUUGGCUGGGGGGGGGGGGGGGGGGCGGGGGGGGCCCUAAACAGUGUGCACCGCCUCCCGCUGCAGCCUAGGGCUGGGGAGCACAGGCUCUCUGUGCACAAAGACCAGCGUUAUCCAGAAGGCCCUGGGACAGGCUCUGGUGGGACCGUUCCUCUGUCGUGAUUAAGUUUGUUGCUGGAAACUUGGGGAAAACUUUUGUUUUUUACUUUCUUUUGCUUUUUCUUCUUCAGUAGCUUGGGCUGCAGCCGUCACUCUGGCUGGCCCGCAGGGAAGAGCCGCUGUUUCUGCUACAUUUUAUUUCAUCUGUUGGCAGAUGUGGGGGUUUUUGUGUGACCCCCUCUUGGUGCAAGUUUUCUCACCUCUGGUUCGCAUCGUUUGUACAGUGAAGCGUGUAAAUAGUUGUUACAGAACAAAUUAUUUAUGUCCAUCAGAAGCUCCUUUCAGACCCUCUUCCAGUCGCUUGUUUGGGACGAUGAGCUUGCUUCCCUCCAACCUGCUUGUUUUCUUAUUUAAGACUAUGUAUUAACGGUCGGGCCAAUGUACCUUCAGCUGUUGCGUAGAGCAGUCCUCAGCGAAAAUUCUGUAUAAAUAGACAAAAUAAAAAGCGUUUUGACUUUGCAAUAAAAGGAGACAUUCGGUUCUGGU